CGGGGUGAGUAACACGUGGAUAAUCUGCCCUGCACAGGGGGACAACAGCUAGAAAUGGCUGCUAAUACCGCAUAAGCCUACAGCCUCGCAUGAGGGAGUAGGAAAAGAAAUUCGGUGCAGGAUGAGUCCGCGUCUGAUUAGCUAGUUGGAGGGGUAAAAGCCCACCAAGGCAACGAUCAGUAGCCGGCCUGAGAGGGCGACCGGCCACAUUGGGACUGAGACACGGCCCAAACUCCUACGGGAGGCAGCAG
rnacentral:rRNA from 1 species